UGGAGCUCGAAUAGAUAACAAAGCUUUGUGGAACUGGUUAAGUGUUAGCAUAAAAUCUCUUAGCCGUAAUCAUGUUGAGUUUCCUCUAAUAAAUAUUACUCUCUUUGGUAGGAUCAUAAAUUUAUUUUUAUAUUUUCAUUUUUAUAGGACAGGAAUAUAUUUAUUUUAUUUUUGUGCCACCACAGUGAAUGUACUUAUGGGUUUUAUGCCAUGAGCAUACUCACAUGGGGCUUACUAUUUUUAACAUUUUUAUUUUCUUUUCAAGAUAGCAUGAACCUGAUUAACUAAGCAAACUAUAAUUGAAUAAUUGAAAAGAAAAGGAUAACUACCAAUGAUAUGACCAUGCCACCAAGCAAGAUGUCACAAGCUCCAAGUCAAGCUACACCCACUCAAGUUUCACCUACACCGACACCAGCCCAAGUCAUCGAUGGACCGAUUACACGUAGUCGUGCAAAGAAGCUACAACAAGAGGUCCACGCGCUACUUUGUAAGAUUCAUUUUAACAUUAAUUAGAAUUAUACACUACCUAAGUAUUAUACCUUGAUUGUACUCAGGUAUAUAGAAGAAGAGAAGGAUGAAUCGGACCCUG
rnacentral:lncRNA from 1 species